UAUGGCACGCGCUACAUUCUAUGAAGGUUUUUUUAUCGGAAGUGCUUUAAUGAGUUCCAUCCUGUUAAUUACCUCGCAAGAUUUGUAACACGUAAUUCUAUUAAUUUUUAUUGAGGUAAUUAUUCAUGGCAAAAGGCACUGUUAAGUGGUUUAACGAAUCCAAAGGCUUCGGCUUUAUAUCCCCCUCUGACGGCAGCAAAGAUGUGUUUGUACACUAUUCCGCUAUCGCCAAUCAGGGUUUCCGUACACUGGCUGAAGGCCAGGAAGUAACUUUCGACAUAGUCAAAGGCCCCAAAGGGCUGCAGGCUGCGAACGUACAAGCCUGAACGGAUAAUCGUUAAAGUAUCAAAUCAACCCCGCAAAUUAUCGCGGGGUUUUUGU
rnacentral:sRNA from 1 species